rnacentral:RNase_P_RNA from 1 species
GGGAGAGAGAGCCUGGCUGCCGCGGCGGAUGCGUCGGCGACGUCGCAUCCGUACAUUGUGGCCAUCCCUUCGGGAUGCAUCACGCUCCUACCGUUGGCCAACUCUUCGAGUUGCCCAACGCACGCGAGGAAAGUCCCCCCACCUGUUCGGGCAGGUGACCGGACGCAAGUCCGGAGCGGGAGACCGCUGGCUCUGGAACAGAAACGACACGUCUCGGCCCGACCGAUGAUGCGUGCGAACCCGACCGAGAGGAAGGGAAGCUAACCUGCAGAGGGCGUGUGGUCGUUCGAACGAUACAUGGUUCGAAUCCAUGGGUUGCGUGCGCGGUUCUUCCCUUCGGGGAUCCGAACCUCGGCGACGUAACCGACCACACCCAGACGGCCGAGGAUCGAUGGAACGGCGAACCCUCACCGGUGCAAGUCCGUGCCGUGGUAGCCCGAACGCCCCGCGGCCUGGCCGCGGACGGCGCGGACGCUCAGCCGAAUGCCGGGACGAACAGAAGGGGGCUUACUCCUCUCACCC